UACGAAGGGGGCUAGCGUUGUCGUGAAUCACUGGGCGUAAAGGGUGCGUAGGCGGGUCUUUUAAGUCAGGGGUGAAAUCCUGGAGCUCAACUCCAGAACUGCCUUUGAUACUGAAGAUCUUGAGUUCGGGAGAGGUGAGUGGAACUGCGAGUGUAGAGGUGAAAUUCGUAGAUAUGACACAGAACACCGAUUGCGAAGGCAGCUAGCUAGACCGACAUUGACGCUGAGGCACGAAAGCGUGGGGAUCAAACAGG
rnacentral:rRNA from 1 species